CCGAGUAUCUACUCAUAACCCUUUGUGAACCAUAUUGUUGCUUCGGCGGCUCGUUCUGCGAGCCCGCCGGUCCAUCAGUCUCUCUGUUUAUACCAACGAUACUUCUGAGUGUUCUUAGCGAACUAUUA
rnacentral:misc_RNA from 1 species